rnacentral:rRNA from 1 species
CCAGGGUUUGACAUCCUGCGAACCCCUUGGAAACGAGGGGGUGCCUUCGGGAGCGCAGAGACAGGUGGUGCAUGGCUGUCGUCAGCUCGUGUCGUGAGAUGUUGGGUUAAGUCCCGCAACGAGCGCAACCCACGUCGUUAGUUGCCAGCAUUCAGUUGGGCACUCUAGCGAGACCGCCGGUGAUAAACCGGAGGAAGGUGUGGAUGACGUCAAGUCAUCAUGCCCCUUACAUCCUGGGCUACACACGUACUACAAUGCUACGGACAAAGGGCAGCAAACUCGCGAGAGCUAGCAAAUCCCAUAAACCGUGGCUCAGUUCAGAUCGUAGGCUGCAACUCGCCUACGUGAAGGAGGAAUCGCUAGUAAUCGCAGGUCAGCAUACUGCGGUGAAUACGUUCCCGGGUCUUGUACACACGCAAUC